GGCACCCUUUUCUCCGCAGCCCCCCCGGCUGUCCUACUACCCAAGGAAAGCCGAGAAGGGAGACGGGGCCGGGCGCCACCGGCAGUCGCUACCGCCGGCACCUAGCCCGGCCCCGACAGGCGCCGGCCCAUCCCGUCCGCCCGCGUUUGCUGCAGCGCUCGCCCGCCGCUGCUGUGACGGCCCGCGUUUGACGGGCUGUUCUGUCCUCUGUCUAGCGAAACGCCCAGCAUGUGGCUCGGGCAGCAGCAGAAACGGAUGGGGGAAAUAGGGUACAGCUUUGGCCCAGUUAAGAGUUUUGAUCAUUUUUUGUGAACAACUGCUUCAAGAUUAAUGUAACCAGCCUGAUGAAUUCUUCUCAAUGGGUGGGCACAUUCAGAAAGCUCAGGAAGAGGCCUGGAAUCACAAGAAGUCUCAGAACAGAGGGCACAGGUGAACUGAGAGCUGCAUUCCCACUCACAGCAUACUCUUCCUACCCCAGGAGAAUUCAAUUGGACCUCAUCUCCAGGAGACUUUCAGGUCCCACCCUCACCCAGGGAUUACUAGGUGCCUUAACCAGGUGAGCUCUCAGGAACCAGGUCACUGUGCACAUAAGGAUGAGCCCCGGACCACACUGGCUGGGUUGGCACAGCACAGUAGGUCUAACUGCAGGUGCUUCGCCUGAUGGUUUGGGAACUGGAGUGAGAGAAAAAAGUGUCUUGUGGACUGAGGUCUUGUGUGAGUGUGUGCUCUGGGGUGACUUUGUGAUGCUGAAUUGUAUCUCCAUUCAUCUGUUUAGCCCAGAAAUAAGUUUUGCACCUUUAAGACUGGUUCCAAGUGAAGGCGGGGAGAGAAGAAGCGCAGAGUUUUUUAUCAGGGACUGCAUUUGCUCCCCCACACCCUGCUCCUGGACUGUGUUGUCUGCAGCACGGACAGAUAGCAGGAGAGGGCUUUCCUUUGCUUUUUUGUUAGGUUUUAGCGAGUUGAGGCAGAGAGGUUCCCUGGACUGUGGUUUUUCUUUUUCUUGGAACUGUUUGAACCUGCUCUGGACUGAACACCCAGAAGAACACCAGCAGCUCACACCUGUGGCCCACCAGGCCAGGCCUGGGCCGUGGCAUUUCCAGCGCUGGAGGUACUGGUAACAGACUAGGUGAACCGAGCUACAGCCCACCAAGGAGACUUUCUGAGUUUUUAAUCUCUUCGGAGUGGCAAGAGGUUUCAUUGUUUAAUAUUGUUAAUUUUUUGUGCUGGUGAAUGCUUUGCCUGUUAAAUAAAGUUUUUUUCCACUUUC